UUAAUUGUUCAGAUUCUAGUGGUCUGGACACCGUUCUCUGUGUCUUUUAUUCUUCCCGCCCAACUCUUUUGUAUGCUGGGAAAAUCUCUUCUUUAAGGGUCCACAUUACUAACUGCAAAAAAUGAUCUUUAUAGCAUGUGGUUGAUCUGAGCGUUAGUUUUAAGUGGUUUUUUACUGGUUGUGUUUAUAGUGUCUUCUAACUGCUCGCUGUCAGUUAUUAAUAUUGCCUAAUCAGUUUUGUCUUUAUAUUAACACAACCCUAUAAUUAGCUGUCUGUUUCCCACACUCAACUUUUCCAGAUUGGCUUAAACUCUAAAUAAAGGGUGAGGGGGGCAAAGGGAGUGAAAGUCACGGCAAAUCCCUUGCUGUGCAGAUAUGUAGACAGCCUACACUACAAGAAACCUCCUUCUGGCUCCAACCGCCUCAUUUUUUUCUCUUCAGCUAGUUUAUGCUCACAGUUGCCUGUUCAGAAAUGUUUAUCAAAUUAAUAAGUAACUUUGCAUACCAUAAAGGCUGUUUUGAUUUCACGUGGAGGCAAGAUUGAAUUUCUUCAUGGUUUGAUUCGCUGCUAUUGAUUCUCUCAUGGCGAUUUGGAGAACAGAGCUCGGAUGGUCUCAGCGAGCUAAUUUGUUGGUAAUGUAAUUUAUUUAUAAUGCUUUGGUUGCAGGAAGUAGAAGGAGCAUGUUCCACUCAAUACAAAGCGUAGUAUUCUUUUGUUAUUCGUUUACUCCACCAAGAUUUAUAGUGCCUAUUACUGGCCUUGGGUCCAACAGGGAAUAAAAUACAAUACCUGUCCUGGGGAAGUUUGCAUUCUAGUGGAGAGAGACAGUCAGUGAACAAAUGUUAGAUGGCAGCAAGAGAGCAAGAGGGUGGGAGGUGUCAAGAAAGGCCUCAGGGACCUGAAGGACGUGCAGAAAUUGAGGCAAGGAGUGGUCCGCACAGGUACACCCACGCGGGAAGAAAGAGUGAAGCCACUGUGAGCUCAAAGAGAUGACGGUGACAAAAGUUGGCUUUGCUCUCCGUGAGACAGGAUGCCAUGGGUGUGUUUUGAGCAGAAGAGCGACAAGAUCUGGUUAAUCAUUUAGAAGGAUCACUGGUCCUGGGGGGUGAAAGGGGGAGCAGAGGAGACAACUCGAAAGCCAUUACAGUAACCUGAGCAGGAGGGUGGUGGUGGGGUGGCUGAGAUGGAAUGGAUUAGAAGCAGCACAAGGGGAGAGACUGACAGAGUUUGCCGGUGAGUUGGACGUGGGAUGGAAAGCCAGAAGUUGGCAUUGCCCGAAUGGAAUCCUGGCAUUGGAGUGAAUUUGAGAGAGUGGGGGAGCUUGGAUGUGCUGAAGGGGCUGGUUGGCAGGUGGCUGUCAUAUUCUGGAGGCAGGACAAGGACCUGGCUGGAGAUCCAAGCGUGAGCGUCCAGGGCGGGUAGCAUGACUGAAAGUCAUGAGUCUGAAGACCAUCAUCUAGGGAGUACAAAGAGAAGAGGUCCAGAGACCAGGCCCCAGGCUCCCCAGUGUUUGAGAGGCAGCAGGAGGGGAAAAAACAGUACAGGGAACUGAGAGCGAGCCCUCAAUCAUAAAGCAAGCCAAGAAAGUGUAAUGUUCCAGAAAGCAUAUAAAUUAGUGGUGUCAGAGAGGUGGAAAUUUAUCAGUUUUUCCAGCUGCCGUGGAAAACUGGGGUAAGAUAAGACUUGAGAUUGCCCUUUGGAGUUAACAAUGCCGAGGUCUCAUCAAAACUAGGAGCUUGUUUUGUUAACAAAGAGGUUGGAAUAGGAAGAUUAGCUUGGAAUGGGUUAAACACAGAUAUGUCUUUGGAGAGUUGACUCCGAGGGAAGGCAGGGAUGGGCGAUAGCUGGAGGAGGAUGUUGGGUCCAGACAGGCAAGAAUAAAGUGUGUUUUGUGUUAAUGUGAACGGUUAAUGUGGUGGGGGAGGGAUCGAUGUUGGAGGAGAGGGGACAGUUGCUAGAGCAAUGUCAUCGUGAAGGUAGAAGGGCUGGGGGUCCGGGAAGCAAGCAGAGGGGUUGGCCCUGGCUAGGGAUCCAGGCACUUCAUGCAGGAUAACGAGAGGAGGCAGGAUGGAUGAGGAAGUUGUAAACUAUUUGAGGUUUGGGAGAAGAAGGUAUAAAAUCGGCUAGCAGUGGGAGAAGGGAUGUACCAAAGAAAUGAGUGAAGAUGGCCAGCACUACAAAGGACCCUGGUGAUAAUCCACGCGAAUUGAACUUGCCUCUUUGUGCUCACUGCAUCAGGAGAGCUUGCCCAGAAUACCUGCGAAAAUAACUAAUGUUCCAGUUUAUAUAUACACCACAAUUUGUUUAUCCAUUGGCCUAUUAUUGUGCAUUAAUAUUGUUUCCAGUUGGGGGUUAUUAUGAAUACAGCUGCUAUGAGCAUUUUUGUACAAGUCUUUAUAUGGACAUAUGUUUUCAUUUCCCCUGGGUAGGUUCCUAGAAACAGAAUCACUGGGUCGUAGAAUAGACAUAUAUUUAACUUGGAAAGAAACUGCCAGUUUUCUGAAGUGGCUGUUCUGCAAAAGUAACCAGGCGAAUGCUUCACCCUGUUGGGUAGAAAAUAAACGUAUAGUAAAUGGGAAAUGCAAGAUAGCAGAAAUUCAUGGUCUCGGCUUAGUCAUUACCGAGUCUUAGCAAAGUCACCGAACUAUUACAGACUCAAUUUCCCCAGAAGCUACACGGAAGAUAUAAACGAGGUCAUCUGCAAGUUCCCUUUUGAGAUCCCACAUUCUGUGAGUUUUGCUGAAAUUCAACCACAUGGUCAUAAACAGACAGAAAGCCUGAUACCUGCACAUUUUUAUUCUGCGGGAGUUGAGUUGCGUUUAGUGUGCAGGACAUAGGAAGAAAAUCUAGAACGUAAGGUGCAGAGGCAAAAGGAUUAGGCUUAUAUGAAGCACACAGUUGCAUGUGGAAAUGAUGUAGUCUUUAGAAGAAAACGUAAGGUGACAGAGAAUUCAACUCAGAAUUUUAUAUUAAAAAGUUGUGUACUUGUGAAUAGCUCCCAUUUUGCUUUUGUUAGGACGUACAUCCUGGGAGACACAGCUGGGUGAUUUAAGAACAAACUCCCUACACGUGCACUGUUGGGGUUGCUGUGGCUUGCUUGGAAAUGAGAGGAAUGCAACAUUGGCCUCUGUUACUACUGCAGAACCGCUGGACAAGUGUCCUGCUCAUCUGGGCACUCUCCGGCCAAGAGCAGAGAACAUUUCUGUUUCCUUCCAGCGACGGGAGAGAGCACCCCAUUGCCGUCUUUCUGUACGUCUUGUCCAUACAUGGACUUCCAUGUACGUGGCUGCAUGUCUCUGAGACAUCUCAGCUGUCUGUUCCCACACUUCAGCACUGCACGGUGAAGGAUGUGCUUCAGCAAAGACUGGGGCGCCAUGUUCCCGUGGUUGAAGCCAUCUGAUAAAUAGAGGAUGCUAGAAAAGACAGGUUGAACAUCAGUGUGAGAUCACAUUCUCCUGUAUAGUUUGCCUUUCAGGGUAAUGAGAAUUAGGGGAGGGGAGGGGACAAGCCACUGGGAGACCGCUCCAAGCCAGUGGGGAGUCUUGACUAAGCUGUGAUUGGCGGUGGAGGCAAAUGGCCAGUUGGUGCCCGUCACCCCUCGGGGUCCUGGGGUUGUGAGGUCCUCAUCCACUCAGGGACAGAUGAAUGCCCUCUGCUUUCUCAGAAGGGAUUCUGAAAGACCUGAGUUUUGAAAGGCAUUCAUAGGGGAUCUUGGAUUUGAACUUUAGAGGUCAGGCCGAACUCUUGCAACGUGCGAAGUGCCUUCCACAGCAUCCCUGGCCUGAUUGUCAGCCAGCAUCUGCUUGAGAACCUAGAGUCACCUGGAACUCAGUACCUCAGCACGUUCACUGUAGGACACACGUACUUCUCAGAACAUGCCCACAGGGUACAACCUUACCGAGCCCGUGCCGUGGGACCUUUCUUCUGUGACAUGGGUAAAGAAUCUAAAGCCAAAAGCAUCUGCACCGCUAGCAUGGAGUGGUAGCUUUGUCUGGUUUUGUUUCCCUCCCUAGGGGGGACUAGAUCAUGGGCAUAUUAUUUUUGUUCUUUCUCAGUGGGGUGAAGAACCACACAAGUAAGCGUUCUUUUCCCCAGUCAGGGACCGGCAUCUCUUAAGUGGCUCUGAUUUAUCUUUACUUUGAUCUCUGAAGAUGACUCCUUUCUUCCAUUGGGCUUCCAUUCUUCAUAGCUGUUCAAAAGUCCACGUAUUUGUAAUGCAAAAGCAGUGAUUUUCAACCAGGGCAGUUUGGUUCCCAAGGGACAUUUGACAGUUACUGGAGACCCCAUCGUUGCCAUAUCUGAUGUGGAGAUGCUAUGCGCAGGUAAUGAGUAGAGGCCAGGGAUGCUCCUGAACAGCCUUCAGGGCACCGGAGGGCCCUGUGCAACAAAGAACUACCUGGUCCAAAAGGUCUUUGCGGUGGGAGUGGGAAACUCUGGACUAAAGGAGCCAGUGGUUGCAAGCCCACCAGUAGCCCCUUCCGUUGGUGGCCAGCACAGUUCACGGGGUUGUGCUGUGGCACUCAGCUUUGUUGGUAUCUAGGGAGAUGGAAGAGUCUUAAUUUCAUGAGCAGCAGAGGUUCUGCAGUUAUUUAUAUUCUCCGUGGCUCUUACAGAAGAGUUAGAGCGGAGCCAAGUAGUUCACCAUAGAAAGAAUUCAUUGAGAAUCAGUCGUGGGGUGUGUGGUUAGAAUACGAUGUUGGCGGCUUUGCUCUUCGCUCGCUUUCAUCCGUAACUUAACUCAGAGUGGCAGACACCUUUGAAUCCUAAACAGGGACUUAUUUUUACAGCCUUCUUGGGUUUUUUUUUAGAUACAUCCAACUUCUCGCUAAUAAACCAAUGAGGUCUAGGUUACCUCUAAUUAAGAGAAGAGUGAGCAGUCAAGAUCAAAGAGAUUUAAAAGGCCUUGUGUUUUCACUCCUUUAUUCAUACAUUCCAGAAAGCAGUUUGUUUUCCAUAGUUGACGUAGUUUGCUAAAUCUGGUGCCUUGUUGGUUAUUUGGUGGAGGGCUUGUUUUGUGGGUUUUGUUUUGUAGUAGGGGAGACAGAAGGGGGAAAAAUCACGUGAAUGUGUUUUUCACGUUGUCAGAAGAAGGCAAACUCGACCUCAGUGCAGGUUUUGAUGUGUAAUAGUAGGAGAACAGACACAGGCGUUGAAUAAUUUCCCACCCACCCUUUUUAGGGGUAGAACCCAUGCUGAGAGAGGACGCAGAAGAGCUUGUCAGUCAAGGCAGAAGCUAAUUAGAUUAGCUCCAGUGCCUCUCUGGACGGCUUCCAGAAGCACACACCCUGUCACAUUUGCUGUGAGUGUCAGUGAAGGCUCCCUCUUCCCCCAUUUCUUUGACUCUAUCCAAAACCAAACUUGAAAAUGGUGGGAGUGAGCACUGCUGGGGUCCCCCCUGUGUGCGGGAUGGAAACAGGAAACACACAUUCUUUAGGGGUGUAAAAGGAGGGUCCAGGGGGUUCCCUGGGCCCACAGUGAAUGUAACUCAGGGAGACAACACCGUGGUAGGAGUAUACUGGCAGCAGAGGCCGACUGGGGGAUUCUGAAUUGCCCCACCCGCCGAAGUUCCCUUUCUCUUUCCUGGCUGGUUAGCAUGAGCAUCAAAUGACUGUUGUCACCUUUAAAUGAAAACUAAGAUUAGUGAGCUGUUGUUGAAAGAGUGGGGACCAUUUGGGAUUUCAAGGUGUUCUAGAAAUCCUCCUUUGGUAGUGCUAGUUAUUCGUGGUAAAAA